rnacentral:rRNA from 1 species
GGGGAGGCAGCAGUGGGGAAUUUUGGACAAUGGGCGAAAGCCUGAUCCAGCAAUGCCGCGUGCAGGAUGAAGGCCCUCGGGUUGUAAACUGCUUUUGUACGGAACGAAAAGCCUGGGGCCAAUACCCCCGGGUCAUGACGGUACCGUAAGAAUAAGCACCGGCUAACUACGUGCCAGCAGCCGCGG